ACCCUGAAAUGCAAUCAGCUGUUUUUUCGCGCGCUAAUCAGACAACGAAUUGCAGACAUUUUUGGUGGACAGUUUAAAAUAAAAAAAUAAAAGAAUGCUAGCUAAUGAAGAAAGUCCUAUUAGCAGCAAAACAGUUACAGUAUGGACGAAAGGCGAAACGAGACUUCUGCUGAGUAAGUACGUCUCCUAUUUGCCGGACAUUGGUCCCUUCAAGCAGUUAAAGACAAAAAAGGACAUGUGGAUGAAAAUUGGCGCAGAGUUCGAUGGGAAAAGUUGGAAGCAGUGUGAAGAAAGGUAUAAGACCAUCAUGAAACGUAAAAAAGUGGCAGUAAAAAUAAGUAGCCAAUGUAUGAUAAAAAAAGAGGUCGCAGCAAAAGAAAAGCAAAGAAAGAGGAAAACGCUCCAAGAAACUAUGUUAGAAAUUGCUGCUAGGAAGGAGAAAGCCAGAGAGAAGCGGCACAAGUAAAGAAUGGAGAAAGCUGCAAGAAUCGAAAGCCUUUUGGAAAAGUGCAUCCGUGAAAAUAAACCAGCUUGAAGCUGUGGGCGUGUGAGGCUUCUGUAAUUUAGUAUAAAAUGGGAGGAAGUGCCUUUCGUUCCUGGCCCAACGUUUCGCCUAUUUAUUUUUUACUUUGUACCUGCUUGAAGCAAAUAAAUAUGAUCUCCCUUAUUUUCAAUAAAUACAAUAUAUAAAACAAAAGAAAAA